UCUAGGUUAGCCAAGUUGGUAAGGCACGAGUUUUUGGUGCUCGCAUACCUAGGUUCGAACCCUAGACCUAGAACCA
rnacentral:tRNA from 8 species